rnacentral:rRNA from 1 species
UACGGAGGGUGCAAGCGUUAUCCGGAUUCACUGGGUUUAAAGGGUGCGUAGGUGGGCAGGUAAGUCAGUGGUGAAAUCUCCGGGCUUAACCCGGAAACUGCCAUUGAUACUAUCUGUCUUGAAUACCGUGGAGGUGAGCGGAAUAUGUCAUGUAGCGGUGAAAUGCUUAGAUAUGACAUAGAACACCAAUUGCGAAGGCAGCUCACUACACGAAUAUUGACACUGAGGCACGAAAGCGUGGGGGAU